AGAGUUUGAUCAUGGCUCAGAACGUACGCUGGCGGCACGCCUAACACAUGCAAGUCGAACGAAGUAGCAAUACUUAGUGGCAGACGGGUGAGUAACAUGUAGGUAUCUGCCCUUUGGCCUGGAAUAACACGAGGAAACUUGUGCUAAUACCGGAUAAGUCUUUACGGAGAAAGCUUUAUGCACCAUUGGAUGAGCCUGCACUUGAUUAGUUUGUUGGUGGGGUAAUGGCCUACCAAGACUGUGAUCAAUAGCUGAUUUGAGAGGAUGAUCAGCCACAUUGGGACUGAGACACGGCCCAAACUCCUACGGGAGGCAGCAGUAGGGAAUCUUGCACAAUGGGGGAAACCCUGAUGCAGCGAUGCCGCGUGAGUGAAGAAGGCCCUUGGGUUGUAAAACUCUUUCGUCGGGGAAGAAAAUGACUGUACCCGAAUAAGAAGGUCCGGCUAACUUCGUGCCAGCAGCCGCGGUAAUACGAAGGGACCUAGCGUAGUUCGGAAUUACUGGGCUUAAAGAGUUCGUAGGUGGUUGAAAAAGUUGGUGGUGAAAUCCCAGAGCUUAACUCUGGAACUGCCAUCAAAACUUUUCAGCUAGAGUAUGAUAGAGGAAAGCAGAAUUUCUAGUGUAGAGGUGAAAUUCGUAGAUAUUAGAAAGAAUACCAAUUGCGAAGGCAGCUUUCUGGAUCAUUACUGACACUGAGGAACGAAAGCAUGGGUAGCGAAGAGGAUUAGAUACCCUCGUAGUCCAUGCCGUAAACGAUGUGUGUUAGACGUUGGAAAUUUAUUUUCAGUGUCGCAGCGAAAGCGAUAAACACACCGCCUGGGGAGUACGACCGCAAGGUUAAAACUCAAAUGAAUUGACGGGGACCCGCACAAGCGGUGGAGCAUGUGGUUUAAUUCGAUGCAACGCGAAAAACCUUA
rnacentral:rRNA from 1 species